rnacentral:lncRNA from 1 species
ACAAUCCCUCUCAAUACUUUCAAGAUGCAUGUACAAGAUCUAUAAUAGAUCAACAAUCGUCAAGUUUCAAAUGGGUAUCGGGAAGCCAUGCUAGCGUAACAUCCUACCACCUUUUGAAAAAAUAACUUGGUUACACAAACAACCUCUCUAAUCCCUAACAGUCUACGACCCAUCACAGGGGAACUUGUGGAAACAUUUAAAUCAUUGUCAUGCAUUAAUCAUGUCGCUACACUCUAGCAUCAAAUCA